UCCCAUCCCUUGGUUUGGUUGAAUGGCAUGCGGGCUUGUGUGCGGCGUUGUUCCCUCGCAUGGCGAACAGGAUCAGAGGAAGGGACCAAUCAACUAUGUAGUAGAGAUACACACAGACAUGGUAGCUUGAGCCGGAAAAGUGGUGGAGGAGCUACCCAUAGCUUUGGAGGCUCACCUGAACUCCUUCGCUUGUCCAUUUCCAUCUAGCCAGGUUCCAGACUUUGGCAGCGUGAGAGCGGCCAUGAAGAGCAGAGGGUUGCUGCUGCUCUGCUGCGCGGCAACGCUGGCCGCGCUUCUCUCCCAAGGAGGCCAGGCCGCCGCUUACUUAUUAUGACAUGCCGUCGCCGUCGCCAGCUCCGGCACCAGGCAGCUCCCGACCGACCAGCUCCUCUGCCUCUCCUCCACCAGCCCGGCCCAACACCUUCCCGACGGUGAGCAUACGGAGUGCUGUCGAUCACAAUGCAUUCCUCAACCGAAUUCGGCUUUUGGUUCGUGGUGGUGUUCAUCGACUAUCUGCAGCGCGGUGUCACCCCCGGCAGCCUGCAGCCCCAAGAGUGCGGCGGCGCGGUGCUCGGCGACAGCGUACCGGAAGCGGUGCCUCUUCUUCUGCGGCAAGUGCUGCGCGGCGUGCCUGUGCGUGCCGGCGGGCACCUACGGCAACAAGGCC